rnacentral:rRNA from 1 species
AUGUAUCCCGGACCAUGCUUUGAUUGGAUAAAAUCUGGUGACACCCCUCAAAAAGAAGAUGACAUUUCGAACUUUCCCCAGCCUGAGCCUGCUAUGCCUGUCAUUGCUGCUCCUCUAGAGUUCUAUCCUAUUUUGCCAGAAAUGGAGCCACCAUUAAAUGUUCAACUUGAUUUAAAUCAAGAGUUGCCUCCUUCACCUGCAAUCAUUGAAUCUCAUGUGAAUGCUCCUUUGGAAAUCUCUCAGUUGGAGGAUAACUUGUUCCCUGAUGAGGAGGAUGGCCCCUUAUUUAACUUAAAUCUUGCUGAAGGAGAGGACCCAGUUAUUCAGUUAGCUUCUCAUGCAGAAAUUUUGGCAGCUCAGCUUAGGGAAGAUGACCAGAGCUCUUUUGUUGAUGAGGAAAUUGAAAUCCUUGACUGUUCUUCUGUUGGUUCUUCCAAGCCUGACUCUGAAUGUAGGGCUGUUACAUGCUCUUCUAACUCUCAUUCCUCAGCACCACCAGGGUUUUCUAUCAAAGGGAAAUAUUUAUCUAUUGAUGAUACUGUUGCAGAUUCUGGCAGUCAAUCUGUGGCUUGUUUAUCUGCCUGGGAGAAGCAUUUCUUGUUAGUGCUGAAGGCCUCACUAAAGUUCAGGUACCUUAUGACUGGGUGGAUUUCAUUUGUUAUGCCCUUUUGA